CAAGUCAACCUAAAUGCAACGUGCACGAUUUCAGCUGUCCAGAUUGAGAAGCUGAUACCAGAUUUCUACUAAAAUGCAAUACUGAGACCAGUAGAAGGUGGGGAAACCACUGUUUGCCCCUAUAUAAGGAUGGAACCGAGUCAUGGUGGGUAUACCAGUGAGGUAGCGACAACCAUUGAGUCCGAAAUGAUGGUGAGCAUAGGAGAGUUUGAAAGCGGGCAACAACAAGCAGCAAGGAAGCAGCCAAGUUGUUUUUCAUUAUGAAGUCCACGUUGAGAAGCUUAGGUUCCACCUUGGAUUCAUGUGCUGAACACAAAGCCACGGAAGAACCUGCAAGGAACAAAAUACAAACAAACUAAGCAAUAGAGUUAUUGAAAGGAAUGUACCUAUGAAUGGCAUGAGCAUGUGUUCAAUCCAUAGACAAACUUAUUUCUUUCAAUUGACGUUAUUUAAUCAUGCAGCAACACAGCACAAAAUGCAUUAAGCUAAGGUGCAUGGUAGAAGCGUGACAUUCGAUUAUUUCAUGAGCUUAAGGAGAUUUGGCAAGGCCAAUGCUACUUGCCAUCCCAUUUUAUAUGUCCGGGGCAGGUAGAACACUCACAUUGGGCUAUAAGUCCCAGUAUAUCUUCUGGGAAAAACUAUAGUGGGUCUUAUCAUUGAUUUGUUUCCUUACCUAACUAUGGAACAAUAUAGCCACCCAAAAAGACCAACGAUUCCAAGCUUGGAAAGUAGCAAUCACCAAGUCAGGUAUUACUAAUUAGUUUCCUCACCUAAAUGGAAGACUAUACCAUCACCUAAGAAACAUGAUGUUGUUCCAAGCUUGGAAACUAAAAAGUUGCUACAGACAUGCAUAAGUUUGGUGUGAGGUGCCAGCAACAUACCUAAACAAAGCUUCUUCCAAAAUUGGAAAUGUCAGCACCAGGCAGAAGAUACAACCAGCUUUCUGCUCUUCCAACCAAGAUAAAGGACACCAUCCCUCUCCUCAAGUCUGUAGUAGCUGUGGUAACUAUCCAGCAGUGUUUUGAUGGUACUGUUCACCACUGGACUUAAUGGGUAUGGUCUAAAUCCAGCCAUUGCAAGCCUUGCCCUCCAUUUUCCGAAAGGCUCAUGCCUUUCUAUUCUUUCAGCACCUUCACAAGCAAUUAAAUUGACAAUAUCUCUUGCAACACAGUGCUGCUCUGCGCUAAUGCGCUUCUUAUCAUCCCUGGGGCGAGCAACAUCUAUCGCCUCAAACAUCGCUGUGUAAUAAUCAAGAGUCUCCAGGUAUCUAAGAAAGAAAGGUGCCGUGUUUGUAUUUGCCUCCUGCUCUACGAGAGUCACCACCCUAGGAGAGAGGCUCUUGACCAUUCUCAAUAUCCUAUCACGAUGGUUUUCUAUGCCCACACUCUCAUCAGGAGUAUGAUGCAGCUGAUAAGCAAAAUUGACAACAAUUGCCUCCCCAGGUCUUACACAAAGAUGUUCAUACAUAACUUCAUGACUAGCUGCUGGAACAGGAUUGAACUCAAAGGGCAGACCACAUGACUGGGCAAUGCUGUGUAACCUCUGUCCAACUAUAUCCAGUCCACCACCUCGGGCAUGAGCAGAAUUUGAGUCAUCUAUGCCAGUGAUUCUUAGGUAUGGUCGUCUCCCAGGCCUUGAAGCAAGGGCCUGGAUCAUAGUCAUCCACUGACUCCCCUGAGCGAUUUGGAAAUCAAUGAUGUGAAUAAAGUUUUCACCCUUAACAGCAUCAGCUAUGGCACCAUUGGCAGACAUGUAACCAAACUUAAAGAAUGGACAGAUGUCGUACAGAAGAUGCAUAUAUGACAUGAGCUCAGAACUCGUAGCCACAGGCUCUUUGCACUUCAGAGAUUUAUAUAGGGCAUGUCCAGUGAAAGAAAGCCUUGCAAUAAGACCUUCCAACAUAUAAGCUCCCAGACGUUGCAUCGGUUCACCAGAGACAGAAACCAUCUGCCUUAACUCAGACAUCAGCGCAUCCAUAUAGAAAGCAUUCUCGUCAACAGCCUUACCACAUGCUAUAAUUACCUGCCGCAAAUCCCCAGUUUUAAUUCCCAAAAGUUCUCUCCAGUUGUUCUCAUGCAAAGCAGUGCCAGGUAGUAAGGAGCUAUCAGGGCUGCCUAUGUCAGAAUCAGGUCCAAGCAUUACAUUUUCUAGAUCCUUAAGUGUCCAACUCGGGACCUGAGUAACACACGACGCACUUGGAGAGGAACCAUAUGCAUGAUCUGAGUGGCUCUCUUGCUGAGACAGAGGACUCCCACUUAUGCUCUGAGAAGAGGUAGAGCUAUGUGCAGGAUAAACACAAUUGGCUGAGGACGAGUCUAGGGUGCAGU
rnacentral:lncRNA from 1 species